rnacentral:rRNA from 1 species
UGGCGAACGGGUGAGUAAUACAUCGGAACGUACCCAGUAGCGGGGGAUAACCUCUCGAAAGAGAGGCUAAUACCGCAUACGACCUACGGGUGAAAGCGGGGGACCGCAAGGCCUCGCACUAUUGGAGCGGCCGAUGUCGGAUUAGCUAGUUGGCGGGGUAACGGCCCACCAAGGCGACGAUCCGUAGCUGGUCUGAGAGGACGACCAGCCACACUGGAACUGAGACACGGUCCAG